AGAUGUAGCAUUAUUCCUGUAGGGAAUUAAUCUUCACUGUGGACUUCCUGAGCUUACUGUCACCUAGGAGACAGACCUCUGGGUAUGUCUAUGACGGCAUUUCUGGAGAAGUUUAUCUGAGACUUACAAUGACUGAGUGGAGGUGGCUGGGGUUCUAGACUGCGCACAAGGGAAAGGGGAGCGUCAGUAUUUCCUGGCCUCCAGACGUGAGGAGUGGCAGCUGUGUGUGCGUGCUGCCAGGACCUCUGUUACAGCUUCCUGGCCCUGAUGGACCUUCCUUCUGAACCUGAGAGUCGUUGAGAGUGCAUUCAUUCAUCGUGUUCCAGGUGUGUAAGAGGAGUGUGUGCUCGAGCCCCACUCUCCCUAAAGGACGGAAGCUCCGCACAGUCAGCACAAAUAUGAAGAAGACAAUACAACAUAAUUCUAAGGCUGCUCCUUGAACAUUUGAAAGAACAACGCAAGCAUAAAUUAUUUAGUGAGGUCUUCGUGUAUGAUAAUUAAACGAGAAAAGAAACACGUGUGUCAGGGGACAGCAGUGAUAAUCUGAAAGAAAAAUUUGGUGAAUAAAACUAAC